rnacentral:lncRNA from 1 species
CUUAAAUUAGCAUAAUAAUGGUUGCUACUCAAUAGGCUGCUACUGAUAGCCAGCGACCACAUGGCAGGAACACAGUUAAAAUCUGUUUGCACUACAAUGAGGAGAGACAGUGAUAAAUUGGUCAAAUGCAAUAAAGAAAACAUAAUCCAAAAUUACUCAGAAUCCCAUUUCAGUAGAAAAGUGACUGAGUAGUAAAUACUCAGUUUGAGAGUACUGAGAAAAUAUAUGCUGACUAUUGAGAAUAUAUAUUUCCUCCAGUGGAAAGAAAUGCACGUAUUUCACAGUCAAAGUGGCCCUUCAAAAAUACUAAUCUCUAAGCUGGGCUCAUUUAGAGAUAGCUAAUUUCAGAACUGCUACAGUAAAAUAUUUGAUAUUGAGAAUUGCAAGCCUGGAUGAAAAUAAAUUCAAUCUCUCUUCUAACUGGUCUUCCUUUUUCUCCAUUUAUGAAGCAUCAACCCCUAAAUAUAUAAAGAAGCAAAACAACUUCAUUCUAGCAUUUUUACUAUACAAAUAAUGUACAUUUCUGGGAAGUGAAAUGAUUUUGUUAGCUAUGUUCAAGAACAGCAAUGUCUAGUCCACAGAAUGGAAAAAUACAGGUACACUGACAUUUCUAAUAGCCUUCAAGGGUGUCUCUAAAGCUAGGCUAACCAGAGCAUGACUGAACUAACCUGAAAUGCUACUCACAGAUCAGAAAAUGUCCUUCAGAUCCCAUCAGAAAGUGAAAUCUCACAUAUAUCUAUAGUCAGCAAUUGGGACUUUGGUAGAAGUGAAAGAUAAAAGCAUUUCAUCAAUUUGUUUCAGUGCUGUUCAAGCUUUUUUUUUUUUUUUUAUCUUUUCUCAGCAUAAUUUAAUUUGAAAUGUUUUACAUGAAAGAAAUGUAAAAAUUUAGAUUCAUUUGUUUUCUUUCUGUUGCUUAUUCAAAAUAACUGCCUUUGCUAUUCAUGAUAAAACUAUGUAUUCAUUCAAUUCCUAGCAAUGUAUUACAUUACACGUUUUACUUUUUCAGACUGAAAUUGCUCUUCUGCCUUUUAUACCAACUGAGAAUUUUGAGGUGGUGGAAAGCUGGAGCAGCGUAGGAU